rnacentral:rRNA from 1 species
CUGCAGCCCGAGUGGUGAUCGAGUUUAUUGAGCCUAAAGCGUCCGUAGCCGGACUAGUAAACCCUUGGGUAAAUUGGGCAGCUUAACUGUCCAAAUUCCGAGGGGACUGCUAGUCUUGGGACCGGGAGAGGUCAGAGGUACUCAAGGGGUAGGGGCUAAAUCCUGUAAUCCUUUGGGGACCACCAGUGGCGAAGGCGUCUGACUAGAACGGAUCCGACGGUAAGGGACGAAACCCUGGGGCGCGAACCGGAUUAGAUACCCGAGUAGUCC